rnacentral:snoRNA from 1 species
CUGCACGUAGCCUCCCGGGCUCAUCCGAUUUAUAUUUUUUACAUGAAGUUAGAAGCCCCAAAGCUCGUGCUAUAAGUUUUUUUGCCGUUUAGUGUUGCAGUAUUAGCCCUUUUGUACCUUUAAUCCAUGGCUUAUCUGUGUCAAAUUAACGGCUAAAUCC